UGGGUAAGACCGGAUGGCACUGUGACCCCCGCAAACACCAGCUGGGGUGCUGACAGUCCGAGUGGCGCUGCAGGCGCAGGUCCCUGUGAAAGCCAGGCUCGCGAAGAUGCCGAGGUUCAGAGAGUGUGCGGGCAUCGUGGGGAAGGAGGGCAGGCGCCAGGCCUGAGGGUUUGCCGUGUGCCCGCUGCUGGCUAAGGGCUCGCCAUGCCUCCCCGUGACAACCGGUGACAUGGCCCUACGCUCCUCUGCGGUUAAAGAUGGGGAAACAGAAGUUUGGAGACAGGAAGCCUCACCUAAGGCCAGGGAGCCAGGGUUGGUACGCUGGGCAGAGCCCCGCCUCACCCCAGCUCCCCGCAGGCAGAGAGCGGUCACGCAGAGUCCCCGGGCUGCACCUGCCCUGCGGCUCCCCCACUCCCUCCCUUUGCUCCUCUUGCUCCCUACACUGCCUGCCGUGGGGCGCAGGGUUUUUGAAAUAGGUGGAAAAGCCAAAAAGGUGGACGUAUAAACUGGUGGAUGUUUCAGAAGAUAAUUUGCAGCUUCUACUAAAAACGGAAGAUUGGGCACAUUCUUUGACCCAGUCAUUCCAAUUUUAGAAAAUAAACAAGCAGAGACUAAGGCAUAAAAAUAUCUAAAGCAGGAGAUUAGAGACAACCUGGAAAUACAUUCCAUGUCCAAUCACAGGGAGUUAAAAAAAGUGUGGCUUUCAGGGGAAUGCAGUAUGUGGUAGCAUAGGGAUGGACGUGGUGCUGUGGUCUGAAUGACCCUCCAGAGCUCACGUUGAAAUGUCAUGGCCAUUGUGAUGGAAUUAAGAGGUGAGACCUUUAAGAACAGAUUAGGACUUGGGGGCCCUCAGGAAUGGUUGUGGGUUGAUGAUCUCAGCAGCGGCUCCAAUAGACAGGAUGAGUGUGGGCUGGUUUCUCCCUGCCUCCCUUGUGCCCCUCGGCCUCUGCCUUGUGCUAAUGAAGCUGCAGGCCCCUGUCGGAGCUGGACCCUGCUCUUGGACUUCCCAGCCUCCAGAACCUUGAGGCAAACACUACUGUCUAUAGCUUACCCACUCUGAUAUCUUGUUAUAGCAGCAGAACACAGACAGAGACACACUGCUCGGAUAUGUGAAUACAAGAGGAAAAUGUGUUACACAACCUUAUCUCCCGGGGAUCUCGCUUUGGUAAGGAAUUCCUUCAUCUCAGUACACGUCAACUAUUUGGCUUUGUAGAGAAAGGACAAUGCAAAUGAUGGCGUAAGGCUCCCGAGCCCUGUGCCCCUUCACCCAGGCCCUCAUCAAUAGGCAGACCCAGGCUGGAUAACCUGCAAACCCCCAGGCUGAGUCUUAUUCUAGAAUCUUCCUUCCUUCUCCCUAUAUACAUUUAAUGACUCUUUAAACAUCCCUCGACAACACCCUCCCAAACCUCAGGCCCCCUCCUCCUUCAGACCAACGGGCCUCCCUCCAGCCCCACUGCGGUUGACUGUUUGAUCCACACAGCGAUGCGCUACUCCAGCCCCCCCCCCCAAGAAAGUCUUCUUUUAAAUGUUGCAAAUUGCAAAGCAGCAAACAUCCACCCAUGCUCAUGUAUAAACUCACUUUUUUUAUUUUCAUUCAAAUUAUGUCCUGGGUAGAAAUUCCCAGGUAGGGAUUCCUGGGCUGGGGGUGGGAUUUCUUUAAGCAUCAACACGGUUCCUCCCGGUUCUUCAGACAUCAAGACCUUUAGGUCCUGUUGAGGGUAAAAAAAAAAAAAAUCUGAAUUUCUGUGCCCUGAUUCCUCUGCUGCUCUUCCACCUCUUAAAUUGGGUUGGAAUGUGAUCUUUUCAUCAUGAAAUUUUAUUUUAAUUUUAAAACACUUCUGCACCUUCUUCCCUCCAUGUUUUCUUCUCUUCCUCCAUGUUUUAUUAGCUCUGCUUCUUACGGGCAUUGCUUAGGUCAUAGAGACCUUUUUCUUCUAACUGGCGGGCCCUCCACAAGUUUACAAUGUGGCGAUUUCUCCACAGUGAACUUAAAAAGAAAGAAGGAAGAGGUGGGCGGGGUUUGCUCGCGAGCUCUCUCUCUCUCUCUCUCUCUCUCUCUUGUGCUUCAAGGGAAUUGAGAACAUAAAUAAAUAAAUAACAAAAAUAAACAGGGGUGUCAUCUGUGUUCAUCUGCAUUAGCAUAAUGAGUCAUUCCUCUUUUUUUUUUUUAAAUAAAGACAAAAGUGUAGCAGGUGCGGGUCCCCAGGUCUAGAGGUAUGGAAGACCUCCUUUGAAUUGGUUUACGGCAGAUUUUGGUGAACUUUGGACUUCCCUGGAAUUUUCAUGAGGCUAAAAUCAUAACUGAAGUCCUUGGUGCAUCCCGCCUCUGGGGCAUUGCGCCUUUCUCCUCCUUUCUCUGGAAUGAUUCGGGAAUCCUGUCCAAAGGUGUCAAGGUCAUAAGUGCCUAUCAACGUCAGACUGACUGUGUGCUCUCUUUUGAGCUAAGCAGGGAGAUUGGAAACUUGGAUCUUUUAUGUAAACCAUCCGCUUCAAAUAAAACUUAUCUCCAGGCCAAAUAUGCCUUUCAGCCACAGAACUUUUCCCCAAACCAGUAUUAUACUGGGAAAUGCAUUUUUUAAAUGUUCUGGGAAAUGCAUUUUGUAUCUUUUUUUGUGUGUGUGUGUGUACACAAUACCUCUAUUUUAUUUAUUUAUUUUUAUGUGGUGCUGAAGAUCGAACCCAGAGCCUUUCACAGGCUAGGGGAGCGCUCUACAGCUGAGCCAUAGCCCCGGGAAAUGCAUGUUUUAAACGUCUCUCCUCUCUCAACCUUCUGACUUGCUGUCUCAUCCUCACAGAUGAUACAGAAGUCACCAAGUUUGCCUUGACUUCUGCUACCAAAAAAAUCACCCACACUGGCGCCAUCCUGCCUUCUUUGCCAUCUGCUCAGCAAAGCUUCCUAGAAGGAGCCCUGUUCCUCCUGCCCCAGGGCCUUUGCAUGUGCUUUUACUCUGCUCCACCCCACUCCUUCCCAGUCUCAGGUCCUCAGGGCUGCCUCAAACUUCUCCUUAACUGUGUACCUCUCCUUCACAGGUGUCAUUCUUUAGGUUACUCUGUAUCUUUGUUUAUUUUCUGUCCCCCCAACAAGACGAAUGCAAGCAGGGCCAAUGUCUGUGAUCCUCCACAGUGAUUGCUACUCAAACAGUGAGUAUAANAAGAGACAGGACCUACCUUCAAUCACAGGGAGGAGCAGAAGUCCCUGGAAGUUGACAGGGAACAGGAGCUUCCUGGCCAGCCCACACCCUCCAGCUGUUACAGGAAGUGGGGAAUGAAUGGCUAUCUCAGUUGGGAUUGCAUUCAGGGCCUCAGGGAUGUCAGCAUUGCCUUUAACACAAGUGCCAUCAGGAAAGCUUGUCCCAGGGCUGACAUUUGAAUUGUGCCUUCAAGGAACAGUUGAACUUCUCCCGGGGAAAGGGGGAGAGUUGCAAAUCCCUGGGAAAGGCCGGAAGCUCCGUCAUGUGCCCAGAUUCCUGGCUCACACCACCCCUACCCAACACCACCAUUCAGACCCUGUGGAUCUGAACCCACAGGGCAGGAGCCAAGGAAGAGGAAAUUUUAUUUAGUGCCCCCAUCAUCCUCAUGACCAGCAAGUCUGCUAAAUGCUGGGCUGGACCCUCUGACUGUUGGUGGAAGAUACAGGAUCAGAGCUGGGAACACCAGAUUGAGCUAAAAGUAAAUAGCUUUGGAAUUUGACUGUAACACUGGUAACGUCACCUUAACAGCAAUGGGCUGCUUCUUUUCUUUGGGGAGACAGAUGACACAAAUUCUUUUAAAAUUUCAAUAAAAGGUAUAACCUUUUUUCCAGAAAGUGCUCCCCUGCCCCCACAUUUGAAUACAUUUCAAGGGUCCCAAUAAUCUGUUCUCUGGAGCUCAGGGGAAGGAACUCCAGGGCAGGGAUUUCAAUGGAGCAGGAUCUGCUCAGGUCAGAGGAGACCCUCAUGAAAGCAAGGGGACUGAAUGGGCCAACCAGGCUCCAGGGAGCAAGUUCAGGCGAAGGAGCCGCUCUCAAGAGAAGAUGGAAGCCCAGACUGGGUAGAGCUCAAGGCCGUGGAAGAGGUGGGUGGGGUACAGGGCAAGUGACCAAUGAAGGGGACAGAAUUCAAGGCUGAGGGAGGUGCCCUGCUCGCUCAGAGGUUUCAGGUUGUGUUUGGGGCGGGGUGUGUUCAGUUCUUAGAGUGGUGAGUUCAUAGCGGCAAGUGAAAGGACCUUGAGGAAUUCCGGUGCUAGUUCCUGGAAAGUCAGGGAAACCCAGGUGGGGUCGGAGCUUGUCGAGGUGCAGGGCAGUGGGUGGCAGGCCUCCUCCAGGGAGAGGCCGAAAAGAGACGGGAAGCAAGACCUGACAGAACCCACCUCAGAGGAGCCCUUGAAAGAGGACAACGGAAAAGAGAGACAGAGACAGCAGCACCAGGAGCAGAAGGUCAAGCCAAUGAGCCCAGAGAGGUCAUUGAAUUGGGCACCUCAGGGAAAUCUCUAAAAGAGUCUUUUCCUAACUCUGCAAUGCAUACCUUUGUU
rnacentral:lncRNA from 1 species